GAUGAACGCUGACAGAAUGCUUAACACAUGCAAGUCAACUUGAACUUCGGUUUGGGUGGCGGACGGGUGAGUAACGCGUACAGAACUUGCCUCACAGUUAGGGACAACAUUUGGAAACGGAUGCUAAUACCUGAUAUUAUGAUUUUAGGGCAUCCUAGAAUUAUGAAAGCUAUAUGCGCUGUGAGAGAGCUUUGCGUUCCAUUAGCUAGUUGGAGAGGUAACGGCUCACCAAGGCGAUGAUGGGUAGCCGGCCUGGGAGGGUGAACGGCCACAAGGGGACUGGGACACGACCCUUACGCAAUCGGGAGGCAGGAGUGGGGAAUAUUGGAAGCUGGACCAAGUGUCUGAUCAAGCACUUCUGUGUGCACGAUGAAGUUUUUCGGAAUGUAAAGUGCUUUCAGUUGGGAGGAAAAAAAUGACGGUACCAACAGAAGAAGUGACGGCUAAAUACGUG
rnacentral:rRNA from 1 species